CGCGUAGGCGGCUUGGCAAGUCAGGUGUGAAAUCCCCGAGCUUAACUUGGGAAUUGCAUCUGAAACUGCCGAGCUUGAGUCCUGGAGGGGAUAGCGGAAUUCCCAGUGUAGCGGUGAAAUGCGUAGAUAUUGGGAGGAACACCUGCGGCGAAGGCGGCUAUCUGGACAGUGACUGACGCUGGAGGCGACGAAAGCGUAGGGGAGCGAACG
rnacentral:rRNA from 1 species